AACGAACGCUGGCGGCAUGCCUAACACAUGCAAGUCGAACGAGACCUUCGGGGCUAGUGGCGCACGGGGGCGUAACGGGUGGGAACAUGCCCCUAGGCUUGGAAUAACGCCCCGGAAGAGGUGCCAAAAGCGAAUAUUAUCCUCGGACCAAAGAUUUAUCGCAGUUGGGUGGGCCCCCGUUGGCUUAGCUAGUUGGUAGGGUAAAAGCCUCUCAAGGCGACGAUGCAUAAAUGGUUUGAGAGGAUGAUCCGCGACACUGGCACUGGGACACGGCCGAGACUCCUGCGCGAUGCAGCAGUGGCUGAUAUUGGCAAAUGGGGGGAAGCCUGAUCCAGCAAUGCCGGGUGAGUGAUGAAGGCCUUAGGGUUGUAAAGCUGUUUUACCCGUGAUGAUAAUGACAGUACCGGGAGAAUAAGCUCCGGCUAACUCCGUG
rnacentral:rRNA from 1 species